GACCUCGUGGCGCAAGGGUAGCGCGUCUGACUCCAGAUUCGAAGAUUGCGUGUUCAAAUCAUGUGGGGGUCA
rnacentral:tRNA from 1 species